rnacentral:rRNA from 1 species
UGGCUGUCGUCAGCUCGUGUCGUGAGAUUGGUUCGGUUAAGUCCGCUAACGAGCGACCAACCUCGCCGUAUGUUACAAGUGUCAGUACGGACUGGCCGGUAAAAAGCCGGAGGAAGGUGAGGAUGAUGUCAAGUCAGCAUGACCUUUAUAUCCAGGGCUACACACACGCUACAAUGGUCUGUACAAUUGGUUGCCAAGCCGCGAGGCGGUGCCAAUCCGUAAAGCAGGCCUCAGUUCAGAUUGCAGUCUGCAACUCGACUGCAUGAGGCCGGAGUUGCUAGUAACCGCAGGUCAGCAAUACUGCGGUGAAUACGUUCCCGGGUCUU